rnacentral:tRNA from 1 species
GCCUCUGUAGUAUACUAAUUAUACUGAUUUUGUAAAUCAGAGAUGGAGAAAAUCCCCUCCCAAAGGCU